rnacentral:tRNA from 1 species
UGGCUCAUAGUUCAAUGGCAGAACGACCGACUGUUAAUCGGUGAAUGCAGGUUCGAUCCCUGCUGAGCCAGCCA